rnacentral:lncRNA from 10 species
GCACCAAUCAAAUGACACACAUCUGGGUUCCUGUCAUCCUCACUGGCUUUGUUUUGCAGCUGAGAGACUGAAUAUACAAAUGGGCAAUGGCCAGACCAGAUAUAAAAAUAGAAUUCAGACCCACAGUCUACAGCAGCCAGCCCAGGAAACCAGCUCAUGACCUACUGUUACCGGCCCAGGAAACAGGUCUGCUAUAAAUCAGACUUGCAGGAAGUCAGAUCACUGUCUGUAGAAACAACCCAUGAAGCCAGACAAUAACCUCUGUACAAUUGCCCCCAAAUGGCCAGGAGUUAAUUAAUAAUGGACUGCUUCCUUGAUUUUCUUCCCUGAUUCCAAUUUAGGACCAACCAGAGAAAGCCAAUAUGCACCUCUAAUUAUUCAUGUAGGAUGUCCUGCUUCUAAUUAGCCCACCUCCAUGUAGGCGCCCCCACCCUAUGCCAACAACCUCCCAUCAGGGUGAGCUCAAAGCCUUCCCUCUUUGCCAUUUUAAAGCUUUCCCACUUAUCUGUUUGCCUUUGAUUCUCUGCCAAAAUGCAAAAGAUAGUGAGUGGCCGACUCCCUUAGUAUAUAUAGCAAGCUCUGAAUAAAUAGCCUUUGCUUUUCUCAUUUGGUUGGUCUGCAUUUAUUUCCACAUGCCGUACAACUAGCACAUGUGAAUUUGGAGGUAAGGACACGUUCUACACUCUUGGACCCAGACAAAUUUGGUCUCACGUGAUUGGAUCAGAGGGACAACACUUGUGGUCUCAUGAAGCGCCAAGGCCUUCUUGGUUCCUGUCUUUGUGGCGUGUGGAUGACUUCUCUAGGAGCAGGAGAUGACUGUGAUGGAAUAGUGACUAAGUUCUAUUUGAACUUGAAUUAGUUAUGGCACAAAUGGGUGGAACAUAAAAGAAGUAAUUAGUAAAGGCAAAUGGGAAAAGCCCAAAAUUGGAAUUUUGUUUUUAAAUAACACUUGGGAGAGAACAAAUUAGGAAUGAAGACAACCUAUUUCCCCAUUCCCUGGCACACAGAUCUCAUUUUAAAUAAAACAAUAAGGAGGUAAGUUUUAAGUGGUGUCAUAGGGAAUGUUAGAAGCUAAUGUUACUAAUCUAAAAACUAUCACUGCAAGGAAAUAUCCAGGUGGUUAUGGGGCAGAGAUAUUGCAGGAAGUCUCUGCAGAUAUCUCAAAUUGUUGGUCUUUGAAAAAAAGGUCCACAUGUGAUGCUCUCUGCAGUGUCAUUGUCAAGAUCAUAACUAAGUUUAUUGUAAGCCAUUAUCAAGAUGCAUUCUCAUGUUGUGUACCUGGCUCCAAGGACCACAGUUGAUUAUUAUCUUGGGGGACGUUUAUUAUUCCCUCUCUGUCUUUGUAAAUAAAAAUGACAAGUCAAAGUUUGGUAGUAGUUGAGAAAAUUGUUGACGUGUAAUUACAGGAAUUUGCUUCUUUGGUUCAGUUUGUUACUUUGAAUCUUUACACUGUCUGCGUAGCUAUUGUGGAUUUAUUAUUUUCUGUAGCUGCACAGAAAAUAAUGUUUUAAUGGUUUUUCAUAAUAAAUAAUAUUAUUUUCCAUUUUAUGUGGCAUGAAAACUCUUUCACAUUCAUCACUUUGAUCUCCCUGACUCCACUACCCCGUAUGAGGCUGGUAGAAUAUGGUGGGACAAGUGUCACAACCCAUUGAACUGAUGAUCAAAGAUGCAAAGAGGCCACAUGUUUUGCCCAAAGUCGUGCACUUAGCAAGCCAGAAUUCAAACCCUGACCUGAUAUCAAGAGUUUACUGCCUGUCAAGAGGACUUGCAAUCCUUCCACUGGACACAUUUCAGAUUUAGUUUCCCCUUUGAACUGAUAACAACUGUUUCAAAAGUAAGAACCUUUUUGGAUUAAGCUUGAAAAAGGAGAAUUGAGGGAGUUGGAGAAGAUGUUUUCCUGUUUUAACAACUUAAUUAACAAGUAUGGGGUGAGGUGGGGAGCAGCGGGGGCCUGAAGAGGAAGUCGUUUUGCAGACACAUCACUUGUGCAUGAGAUGUCAAAUAUCUGUACACAGGGUCUGGUCCGGUGCUAUGGUCCAGCAUGGUGGCCACCAGCCACAUGUGGCUCUUGAGCACUUGAAAUGUGGCUCACUCACACUGAGAUAUGCUGCCACUGUCAAUUCCACAUUGACUUCAAAGCCUUAGUAUGAAAAAAAAAAAAUAGCCUAUUGUGGUGUUAUGAUAGGUACUGGUUUUCCUCCGUGGUUCCUGGCUUGUGACUCG